rnacentral:rRNA from 1 species
GGUCAUUUAGAGGAAGUAAAAGUCGUAACAAGGUUUCCGUAGGUGAACCUGCGGAAGGAUCAUUAAAAGUAUAUAGUUAUACAUUCUGUGUAUCGACUAAAUAUACCCAUUCUGAGUACCUUGCCUGUUGCUUCCAUGGAGCCUGACACAUGUCACUCUGGGGAUUUACAUCCCGAGGGAGCCUCCGUGGAAGGUAAUCAAUUAACUCUUGAAUCCAAUGUCAUCUGUCUGAUAAUGUUUAUAACAAAUGUUAAAACUUUCAACAACGGAUCUCUUGGUUCUCGCAUCGAUGAAGAACGCAGCGAAAUGCGAUAAGUAGUGUGAAUUGCAGAAUUCAGUGAAUCAUCGAAUCUUUGAACGCACAUUGCGCCUCCUGGUAUUCCGGGAGGCAUGCCUGUUCGAGCGUCAUUAAAUACCACUCAAGCUCUUCUGCUUGGUCAUGGAAGAAGAGUAUGCUUGCAUCCUCUCUUCUGAAAUCGAAUGGCGGACUGCCUCAUGUGCCUCGCGUAGUAAGUUCAUCUUUUCGCUUGGAGUGUGAGAUAGUCUCGCCAUCAACCCCCAUACUUCUAAGGUUGACCUCGGAUCAGGUAGGGAUACCCGCUGAACUUAAGCAUAUCAAUA